UACGUAGGCAGCGAGCGUUGUUCGGAGUUACUGGGCGUAAAGGGUGUGUAGGCGGUUUGUUUUAAGUUUGGUGUGAAAUCUCCCGGCUCAACUGGGAGGGUGCGCCGAAUACUGAAUGACUUGGAGUGCGGGAGAGGAGAGUGGAAUUCCUGGUGUAGCGGUGAAAUGCGUAGAUAUCAGGAGGAACACCGGUGGUGUAGACGGCUCUCUGGACCGUAACUGACGCUGAGACACGAAAGCGUGGGUAGCAAACAGG
rnacentral:rRNA from 1 species